GUGGACGUAGCUCAGUUGGUAGAGCGCGGGAUUGUGAUUCCCGUGGUCGUGGGUUCGAUCCCCAUCGUCCACCCCA
rnacentral:tRNA from 1 species